CCUGUGGAGUGUCAAACAAACCGUAGUAGAUAUAUAUCGAGGCGGGACACGUUGAAGCAGGAA
rnacentral:ncRNA from 1 species